GGCCCCAUCGUCUAGUGGUUAGGACGUCAGAUUCUCAGUCUGGUAACCGGGGUUCGAUUCCCCGUGGGGCUA
rnacentral:tRNA from 1 species